UGCCAGCAGCCGCGGUAAGACGGAGGGUGCUAGCGUUGUUCGGAAUUAUUGGGCGUUAAGAGCAUGUAGGCGGACUAUUAAGUCUGGCGUGAAAGCCCGGGGCUCAACCCCGGAAGUGCGUUGGAUACUGGUAGUCUUGAGUUCGAGAGAGGUGAGUGGAAUUCCGAGUGUAGAGGUGAAAUUCGUAGAUAUUCGGAGGAACACCAGUGGCGAAGGCAUCUCUCUGGGCCGAUAUUGACGCUGAGGCGCGAAGGCGUGGGUAGCGAACGGGAUUAGAUA
rnacentral:rRNA from 1 species